GGGCUUAACACAUGCAAGUCGAACGUGAAGCUCCGAGCUUGCUUGGAGUGGAAAGUGGCGCACGGGUGAGUAACACGUAGGCAACCUGCCCCUGAGAGUGGAAUAACCAUGGGAAACUAUGGCUAAUACCGCAUAUUGUCCUGAAUGCGCAUGCAUUUAGGAUGAAAACUCCGGUGCUCAGGGAUGGGCCUGCGGCAGAUUAGCUUGUUGGUGGGGUAACUGCCCACCAAGGCAACGAUCUGUAGCUGGUCUGAGAGGAUGAUCAGCCACACUGGCACUGAGACACGGGCCAGACUCCUACGGGAGGCAGCAGUGAGGAAUAUUGCGCAAUGGGCGAAAGCCUGACGCAGCCACGCCGCGUGGAGGAAGACCACCCUAUGGGGCGUAAACUCCUUUUAUAUGAGAAGAAGAUCCUGGUCGCCAGGAUUUGACGGUACCAUAUGAAUAAGCACCGGCUAACUCCGUG
rnacentral:rRNA from 1 species